rfam:Oenococcus kitaharae DSM 17330 chromosome, whole genome shotgun sequence.
GGACCUUUAGCUCAGUUGGUUAGAGCAAGCGGCUCAUAACCGCUCGGUCGCUGGUUCGAGUCCAGCAAGGUCCA